rnacentral:lncRNA from 1 species
UGCAGAAGCAGGAAGUGCACUUGGGAGGCCAAGGCAGUAAAGGGGGAAAUGGGUGGCACUGCCUUGGCCCAGGGCGGGCGGCUGGAUUCUAGAGACGUGGAAAAGGUGGAAGGGCAAGAUUCAUCAACAGCACCACCAUUGUUAGGUAGACUAUCCUUCCACUGAGACGAUGCCUAAUGGUAGAUGGACUGAAACGUUUGCAGUCGAUUCCAUUGUUUACCCAGGC